UGCCAUCCAAGACACUUUCCCUGUAUUAGAAGAACUAACACUGAAGACGAAUGAUAUGGUGAAGGGGAUAUGUGAUGGACAACUCUCAUUGCAGUGUUUCCAAAACCUUAAGCAUCUUAACCUCCAAUUCUUUCCCAAGACAUCCACUACUCUUCCGUAUUCCUUCAUUCGGUCUCUACCAAUGCUUCAUAAGCUUGUUAUAGACAAUGCUUCCAUUUGUCAAAUAGUACAAUCUGAAGGACUCAGGGACCAGGAAAGGCAUACAUCAGCAUUCUAUCAGCUAAAGGAAUUAAGUUUGUCUCAACUUCCAGAGUUGACGUUAAAGACUUUUGAACCAUCUUUGCUGUCUUUCAAAAAUCUAACAACACUGGAAGUUUCGAGAUGCCAUGGGUUCAUCAAUUUAAUCGUAUGCUCAACAGCUAAGUGCCUGACGCUACUGGAAAGAUUGAGCAUAGAUGAUUGUGAGAUGAUAGAGGAAAUCAUAACGUGUGAGGCUGAAGAAAUACAAGGCGGCAUUGUAUUUCCCAAACUGAAGUAUUUGCAGCAAGUUGCCUGCCAUGUCUAGCAAGCUUUUCCUUGGCCCAUCACUCGUUGGAAUUCCCAGUCUUGCUAAUGGUGAUGGUGACAAAGUGCCUCCAAAUGAGGAAUUUCUGCCAAGGAGAUUUAAGCACACCAAGGCUGGAACAAAUGCACUUAACAAGAGAUGAGGAAGGUGAACUGCAGUGGGAAGGCGACCUUAACACUACCAUAAAACAUAUGUUCGAUGAAAUGAAUGUGCAAAAUUCUGAGGUGACGGAGGUUAC